rnacentral:miRNA from 1 species
UCCGUCCGGACCCGUGACGGACGGGAGGCCCGGUGCCAGCCGGCACCGGGCCUCCCGUCCGUCGGCGGUCGCGGUCAGA